UUCUGUUCCUUCGCUGUUACAAAUGUUACUGUUUUUUCUUUUUCAAAAUGGCUUUCUAUGAAUAUUGUGCAAUAGUUAGUUAAGAAUGUCAUUUCUGUAAGAAUUCCCACCAUUGAACUUUUGUACUGUCUAAAAACACAACCAUGAUGUUUUUGAAAACCAAACUUAUUAAAAUGGCUAACAAACAACCAUUGAAUUUCCUGAUCUUUCCAGUCUUUAUUUGCCUUUCCUUUUGCUAAAAUCUAUCUCAAUCAAUUGAUCUCUUGCAGAUGGACCUUUUGCACUGCACUGCAAAGCCCCGUUGGCCUCAGCGUAACUCUAGAGCCUGCAAUGAUCUUCAAGUGACUUCAGCUACCAGGCUGGCACUUAUGAGAGGUUCACUACACCAGGCAGCACGGAGAGCAGCACCCACCACGGCACAGACCAGCAGUCUCCAGCUGACAGCCGGUUUUGCUGACUGUUUCAGUAAAUGCAAGGAAGUGAUCCAUGUGAACAUCUGCCAGAUGAGUAUUUUCCCCUGUUGUUUUGGUGUCAACAGCUUCUGAGGAUGGGAUUAGGAAAGAAUCUAUUGUCCUUUCCACUGUCAGAAAUACUAUCAUCAUUCUAAUCUUUUUUUUUUUUCUCCUUUUGGCAGGGAACUGACUGUGCCAUUAAUGGUUCCUUUUGGGCCACAUCAUAAAUGAAUGAUUUCAGUUUGGCUGUUUUCAGCGGGACUCUGGGGAAGGCAGCUCAUCCUCUGAAGUGCUGCCUGUGGCUGGCUUGCUCCACAGCCCUAGGAGGAGUCCAUCACCCUGGUACAUGUGUGAUAAAGGCUGGAUUUCAGGGUUGGGUGAAGGAGGAAGACGGAGUUAAAAGACCAAAUAAUAACGUAGGAGAAAAAGGAAGUUGAAAGAGAGAGAACAGAGACAGAGGGCCUCUAACCACUGCUUCCCUCUAGAUCCCAGGAGCAUAUCCACCCUUCUGCUGUCAGGCGGUAUCUAAAAAUCCAAUACCAAUGUGUGAAUCUCACCUUUCCUCAUUGUCAAACAGCUGGCUCACAGUCUGGCACUACCCCCCACCGCUCCUGUAGUGAAAGAGAUCAGAAAGAAAAGAUGUAUGCUGGACUUGUGGGGAUAAACAAUAAUGUUGCUUAGUAUUGAAGUUCAAAUGAUGCAUGCCUAUUUUUUGAAGAAGUCAUGAAUCCCUCCAGAAUAACUCCAAAUUAUCUGGAGAGGAGAGGAGAGGAGAGGAGAGGAGAGGAGAGGA
rnacentral:lncRNA from 1 species